CGGGGGUGACCAUCAAAGGGGCCAACAUAGACCGUUGAGCAAAUCGGGCUGCAUAUUGGGCUACAGAUAAGCUUCCUUGAUGGAGGUCCUAAAAUUCCUCCUCUUUCUUUUCCUCAACAUAAGCAGGGAAGAAGUUAUCAAAGAAAGCAUCCAUGAAAACUUUCUAGGUAGUAGGGGUAGACAGGACUUCUUUCUUAAGUCGCAACCAGUGUUUGGCUUCACCAUUUAACAUGAAGGCUGCAAGGACUUUUUGUUCUUUGGUCAGGUCUAGUACAGAGAAGAGCUUUUCUAUUUGUAGGAUCCAAGCUUUGGCUACUAAAGGAUCAGGACAACCUUGAAAGUGUGGGGGGUUAAGUUUCCUAAACUGUGCUAUAUUGUAGGAAAUAGAUCAAUCUGUGUUUCAAAAUUCAAGGGCAGGAAGUGGG
rnacentral:lncRNA from 1 species